rnacentral:rRNA from 1 species
AUUGAACGCUGGCGGCAUGCUUUACACAUGCAAGUCGAACGGUAACAGGCCGCAAGGUGCUGACGAGUGGCGAACGGGUGAGUAAUGCAUCGGAACGUGCCCAGUCGUGGGGGAUAACUACUCGAAAGAGUAGCUAAUACCGCAUACGAUCUAUGGAUGAAAGCGGGGGACCGUAAGGCCUCGCGCGAUUGGAGCGGCCGAUGUCAGAUUAGGUAGUUGGUGGGGUAAAGGCUCACCAAGCCAACGAUCUGUAGCUGGUCUGAGAGGACGGCCAGCCACAGGGGGACUGAGAACCGGCCCAGCCCCCUAGGGGGGGCAGGAGGGGGGAAUUUGGGAAAAGGGGGGAAAGCCUGACCCAGAAAGGCGCGGGGAAGGAAGAAGGCCUUCGGGUUGAAAACUGCUUUUGUACGGAACAAAACGGCUCUGGUUAAUACCCGGGGCUAAGGACGGUACCGAAAGAAAAAGCCCCGGCUAACUCCGU